rnacentral:rRNA from 1 species
UGGGGAAUCUUGGACAAUGGGCGAAAGCCUGACCCAGCAACGCCGCGUGAAGGAUGAAGUAUUUCGGUAUGUAAACUUCGAAAGAAUAGGAAGAAUAAAUGACGGUACUAUUUAUAAGGUCCGGCUAACUACGUGCCAGCAGCCGCGGUAAUACGUAGGGACCAAGCGUUGUUCGGAUUUACUGGGCGUAAAGGGCGCGUAGGCGGCAAUUCAAGUCAUCUGUGAAAUCUCCGGGCUUAACUCGGAACGGUCAGAUGAUACUGCUUUGCUAGAGUGCAGAAGGGGCAAUCGGAAUUCUUGGUGUAGCGGUGAAAUGCGUAGAUAUCAAGAGGAACACUUGAGGUGAAGACGGGUUGCUGGGCUGACACUGACGCUGAGGCGCGAAAGCCAGGGGAGCAAACGGGAUUAGAUACCCUCGUAGUCCCUGAGCGGGCUGGCAAGGCGCAU